AGGUUGAUCCAGCAGUCGCUGCUUUGACUUGCUCUGCACAAGCUAAAGAUAUUAGUUUUUAACUUGUCCCGAGCAUGUUGAGGGAGAGGAAAGUCCGGGCACCAUAGGACAGCAUAGCGGGUAACGCCCGCCCAUCGUGAGGUGAGGACUAGUGGAACAGAGACGAGCCGGUUAAGUCCGGUUGAAACGGCUAAACUCUAUGCGGUGCAAACUCAAAUAGGCUGUGAACUUUCGCAAGGAAGUACGGUGUGGUCCGCUCCGUCAUAAAUGGCGGGUAGAGUGCUUGAGCAGGCUGGCAACAGACUGCCUAGAGAAAUGACUGCUUUAUAACAGAACCCGGCUUAUUGGAUCAACCUUCUU
rnacentral:RNase_P_RNA from 2 species